ACAUCCCGAAAUAAAAUGAGCUAUAUAUUAAUAUAAUUUACGUGUCAAAGUAAUUUUUAAUUAAUUUUUAGUGAUGAAAUGUUAAUCGAAUUUUAUAUAUCUGGUUUUUUCUUAAAUAAAUUUAAUUUAGAAGUUAUUUUAUCCUAAAAUAAACUUUAAAAGCAGGAGGGUAGAGCUUCUUGUUAUUUCUUAAUAUAAAAUAAAAUAUGUAAAUUUAAUAUUUAAGCUUAAAAGUAGCUAUAUUUAUAAAGUGUUAAAACUAAAAAUAAAUGUUAUAAUAUUUUAGUGUUUUUAUUUUAAAAGGAAAAAUAUUGAACAAACGAAAAUUUAAAGAUAUAAUGAUUUUAUUAGUAUAUGAUUAUAUAAUUAUCAAUAACUAGUUAAUUUUUAAAUUUUAUUAAGCUAAAAUUAUAAUUAAAUAAUUCGGCAAAUAUAAUCUUUUGCCUGUUUAUCAAAAACAUGUCUGUUUGUAAAUAUAAUUAGUCUGGCCUGCCCACUGAACAAAUUAAAGGGCCGCAGUAUCUUGACUGUGCGAAGGUAGCAUAAUCAUUAGUUUUUUAAUUGGAAGCUGGAAUGAACGGUCGGACAAAAAGAAAUCUGUUUCAAUUAUAAAAAUUGAAUUUAACUUUUAAGUGAAAAGGCUUAAAUUGAAUUUAAAGACGAUAAGACCCUAUAAAACUUUACAUUUAUAUAAUAUAAUUUUAUUUAUUUGUUAAUCAAAAUUAAUUUAUAUUUAUGUUUCAUUGGGGUGAUGAAAGUAUAAAAAUAACUGCUUUUUUUUCUUACAGAUAAUUUCUGUGUAUAAGAUCCUUAAUUAUUAAGAAUAAAGAAAAAGUUACUUUAGGGAUAACAGCGUUAUUUUUUUUGAGAGUUCUUAUCGACAAAAAAGUUUGCGACCUCGAUGUUGAAUUAAAAUUACUUUAUAAUGUAGCAGUUAUAAUAGUAGGUCUGUUCGACCUUUAAAAUUUUACAUGAUUUGAGUUCAAACCGGUGUGAGCCAGGUUGGUUUCUAUCUUAAAUAAAUAAAUAAUUUUAGUACGAAAGGAUUUAAUUA
rnacentral:rRNA from 1 species